rnacentral:rRNA from 1 species
AGAGCCAACGGUGGAUGCCUUGGCGCCUGAAGCCGAUGAAGGACGUGGGUGGCUGCGAUAAGCCACGGGGAGCUGCCUACCAAGCUUCGAUCCGUGGAUGUCCGAAUGGGGAAACCCCGCACCCGUCAUGGGGUGUGACUCCGGUCUGAAUGCAUAGGACCGGCAGAGGGAACCGGGGGAACUGAAACAUCUCAGUACCCCGAGGAGAAGAAAGCAACAGCGACUCCCUGAGUAGCGGCGAGCGAAACGGGAUCAGCCUAAACCGGACCAGUGCUAAAGCCUGAUGGCGUUGCUGGUUCGGGGUCGUGGGACCUGGAAGAAGGGGCAUCAGACCCUUCACGGAGUUACAAAACUGCUGUCUAGUGGAAGCAUGCUGGAACGAUGCGCCAUAGCGGGUAAGAGCCCCGUACACGAAAGACACGCAGUCUCCGCCCAGUAAUCCCGAGUAGCGCCGGAUCCGGGAAAGCCGGUGUGAAUCUACGAGGACCACCUCGAAAGGCUAAGUACUCUCAGGCGACCGAUAGUGAACUAGUACCGUGAGGGAAAGGUGAAAAGCACCCCGGGAGGGGAGUGAAAUAGUACCUGAAACCGUUGGCUUACAAACAGUCAGAGCGUCGUCGGCAACUUGUUGCCGGCCGUGAUGGCGUGCCUUUUGAAGAAUGAGCCAGCGAGUUACCGUGUGUGGCGAGGUUAACCCGAUUGGGGGAGCCGGAGCGAAAGCGAGUCUGAACAGGGCGUUCAGUCGCAUGCGGUAGACCCGAAGCCGAGUGAUCUUGCCAUGGGCAGGCUGAAGCGGGGGUAAGACCCCGUGGAGGGCCGAACCCACUCUGGUUGAAAACAGAGGGGAUGACCUGUGGUAAGGGGUGAAAGGCCAAACAAACUCGGUGAUAGCUGGUUCUCCCCGAAAUGCAUUUAGGUGCAGCGUCAGAUGUUCAGCAUCGGAGGUAGAGCACUGAAUGGGCUAGGGGGCCUACAAGCUUACUGACCCCAAUCAAACUCCGAAUGCCGAUGCUCCAGAGUCUGGCAGUGAGACCACGAGGGAUGAGCUUCGUUGGUCGAAAGGGAAACAGCCCAGACCGCCAGCUAAGGCCCCAAAUUCUAGGCUAAGUGGAAAACGAUGUGGGAACGCAGAGACAGCCAGGAGGUUGGCUUAGAAGCAGCCACCCUUAAAAGAGUGCGUAAUAGCUCACUGGUCGAGUGGUCCUGCGCGGACAAUGUAACGGGGCUCAAGCCUAGAGCCGAAGCUGCGGAUUUCCGCGUAAGCGGGAGUGGUAGGGGAGCGUCGAUCUUGCAGAGAAGCGGCGGUGGGAACCGUCGUGGAGCGUGAUCGAGUGAGAAUGCUGGCAUGAGUAGCGAGAGAGGGGUGAGAAACCCCUCCGCCGUAAGCCCAAGGGUUCCUGGGGAAGGCUAAUCCGCCCAGGGUCAGUCGGGAGCUAAGGCGAGGCCGAGAGGCGUAGUCGAUGCACAACUGGUUGAUAUUCCAGUACCACCGUGUCCGCGCCCAUCCCGAAUCGAGGGUACUAAGGGGCUGGCCUUCGGGCCGAUCCGACCGACCUUGACAAGGGAAGCGAAGGGGGGACGCAGGAGGGUAGAUGAGCCCAGGCGUUGGUUGUCCUGGGGGAAGCGAGUAGAGGGAGGUCUAGGCAAAUCCGGACCUCACAUACCUUGAGUCGUGAUCCCGAGCCGUUCUAGGCGAAGUCAUUGAGCCCAUGCUGCCAAGAAAAGCCCCUAGCGAGCUGACACGGUGCCCGUACCCCAAACCGACACAGGUGGGCAGGUAGAGCAUACCAAGGCGAUCGGGAGAACUGUGGUUAAGGAACUCGGCAAAAUUCCUCCGUAACUUCGGGAGAAGGAGGGCCUCGUUAGGGUGAAGGACUUCGCGUCCGGAGCUCGAGGAGGUCGCAGCGAAUUGAGGGAAGCGACUGUUUACUAAAAACACAGCAGCGUGCUAAGUCGUAAGACGACGUAUACGCUGUGACGCCUGCCCGGUGCCGGAAGGUUACGGGGAAGGGUCAGUCCUUCGGGACGAAGCUCUGAACCUAAGCCCCGGUAAACGGCGGCCGUAACUAUAACGGUCCUAAGGUAGCGAAAUUCCUUGUCGGGUAAGUUCCGACCUGCACGAAUGGCGUAACGACUUCCCUACUGUCUCAACCACAGACCCGGCGAAAUUGAAGUACGAGUAAAGAUGCUCGUUAGCUGCACCAGGACGGAAAGACCCCGUGGACCUUUACUGCAGCUUGAUGUUGAGCUUUGGUACGGAUUGUGUAGGAUAGGUGGGAGUCUGGGAAGCUCCGGCGUUAGCCGGGGUGGAGACAACGUUGAAAUACCACCCUGUUCGUACUGGGGCUCUAACCUCGGCCCGUAAUCCGGGCCAGGGACCGCGUCAGGUGGGCAGUUUGACUGG